GGGGAGCCUGGAUGGAGCGCGUGGACCUGCCUCCGCAUCAGACGGGGUCACAGCACACACCUGGGCCAGGCUGCUGGGCUCCCACCCGGUCCACAGCCCCGGGACCUUGGGCUUGUCACCGCCUCUCCCUGCACUUCUGUUUUCUCAUCUGCAGAACGAGGACAGCGAUGGAGUCGAUGUCUCAAUCGGGGUCCUGUCAAGAAUCGGGGCGCCCUCGAAGGGGAGGGGCGAGGGCGUGAACGCGUGGAAAGUGCUCAGCACCGUGCAGGGCCCAGGUGAGCGUGCGGCCCCAUCACACCGAGGAGGGAAACUGAUGCUCAGGGUAGUGAGGGAGCCUGUCUGAGGUCACCAAGCUCCAACAGGAGGAUCCGAGAUGACCUGUGGCUCUCUGACUCCAGAGGCGGUGCCCUCGGCCCCACCAUGCAGCAGCGUCACUCUGAGGACACGCACUGGGUCCUCUGAGAGAGGAGGUAAGAGUCCCAGAC